rnacentral:rRNA from 1 species
GAUGAACGCUGGCGGCGUGCCUAAUACAUGCAAGUCGAGCGAACGGACGAGAAGCUUGCUUCUCUGAUGUUAGCGGCGGACGGGUGAGUAACACGUGGAUAACCUACCUAUAAGACUGGGAUAACUUCGGGAAACCGGAGCUAAUACCGGAUGAUAUUUUGAACCGCAUGGUUCAAAGGUGAAAGACGGUCUUGCUGUCACUUAUAGAUGUAUCCGCGCUGCAUUAGCUAGUUGGUAGGGUAACGGCUUACCAAGGCAACGAUGCAUAGCCGACCUGAGAGGGUGAUCGGCCACACUGGAACUGAGACACGGUCCAGACUCCUACGGGAGGCAGCAGUAGGGAAUCUUCCGCAAUGGGCGAAAGCCUGACGGAGCAACGCCGCGUGAGUGAUGAAGGUCUUCGGAUCGUAAAACUCUGUUAUUAGGGAAGAACAUAUGUGUAAGUAACUGUGCACAUCUUGACGGUACCUAAUCAGAAAGCCACGGCUAACUACGUG